ensembl:lncRNA
UGUCUAGGAGAAUCUGAAGACUAGGAUAGACUUCUCAAGGCCACCCCACAAUCUGUUUCCACAUCCUACUCCAAGAGCAGCUCAACAGAAAGCCUCCAAAGGCCCCAGGCAGUUGCACAGCUGGCUUGCCAAGUCUGAGAGCCCAGAGAUCAAAAAGAAUAUGAAUCUUAAAAGGACCUCGUUGGAACAAGAAAGGAAGGAGUGGGUUGUGAGCAGCUGUCUGGAGAUGAGUGGAAGAGCCUGAAAAAGGAAGGGAAUUCAGCUGAGCCCAAAGAUGGAGAAAACUGAACAGACUGCAAAAAUGUAGGCUGAAGCUCACUGCUGCACAGUGCUUAUUUCAGCAGCAGGUGGAAGUAAAUCCUAGUGCACCUGGGAAUAUGGUAACUAGAAAUAUCUGAUUACCAUAAGGACUUGCACUGAUACCCAGGCUUUUGGCAGGGUUUAAUUUUCAGUGAUCAAGGAAGAAGGCAAAAUCUAAAACAGGAUUUUGGUGCUGAAAUUCCGUUACGGUUUGAGAGUCAGCUUUGUUGCUGUUCUAAUAUUUCCCCGAAUUAGUCCCACUGUUUUUUCUAUGCAGUAGAGAAAUUUAUUCUCAGCUUUACUCAGAAGGAUCAGUAAAGUGCUAAUGUCUUUGUCCAGUAACAUCCAUGCUAUUGAUUAUGUUGCAGUGCAGUUGUAGGGCAAGGAAAGUUUUUUUUUUAAGCAGGAAUUGGUUCUAGGAGAUGCCUAUUCAAGAAAGCAAAGCUGACUGUUACUUACUUGAAAGGAACUAAAACCUAUAGUGAACUAAGCUAGGCGACCAGUCAUUUUGCAGAUGGUGCAUUGUUUGUAUACCCAGUAAAGAAACAACUUAAUGUCAGUUGUAGGAAGCUUCCGAUUUCUUCCUCUGAAUGAAAAUGAAAUAUUUGGAAACUAAAGAACAUCCAGUUAUGUGCUCUGAGUCCAUGCCUUAGCCUCAUGAAUAUAAGGCGUUUAGGAUUUAACAGUAUUCUUUUAGCAUAUUUUUUCCAGAAUUAAGAUAUCAAACCAACAAAUGAUUUGAAUAACCGACAAGGAGCUCUACUCAUGGCAGUGUGCGCAGUUUUUUAAAUUUUCAUUUGCUGUAGGUUUGGCUCACUCAGACAUCAGUUUAAUACCAUAACAUGCUUGUGCUUUAACACCGUCUGUCUUAACAUUCCCAAUAGUGACUACCGGCUCUAAUUCCUCAUCUAUUCUUUGCUCCUUUUAUUUAUUUUCUGUUGUUACAGCUAUAAACUCAAAUUUUAACAACGGCUUAAAAUCCACAGAACUUGGGACUUAGUCAUCCUUUCUGUCUUCAUUGCAAAAUGUUUUCUGUUUGCUUCUCUCAUUCCUUUGCAUUGUAGAUCAGGUAGGUGUGUUUUAGGUCUCCCAUCUACCAGAAACUAGAAAUGAAUGUGAAAGUACAAGAUAUGCACUUGUCUUUCUCAGGAGACCUUUUGCACCAUGGGAAAUGGAGUACUUGCAUUUUCUGGCUCCAUUAAUGUUUUUCCUUAAUAAAAGAUAAAACAAUAAUAAUAAAAAUAAUAAA